rnacentral:rRNA from 1 species
GAUGAACGCUAGCGGCAGGCUUAACACAUGCAAGUCGAGGGGUAUAGGUUUUCGGACCUAGAGACCGGCGCACGGGUGCGUAACGCGUAUGCAAUCUACCUUUUGCAGAGGGAUAGCCUAGAGAAAUUUGGAUUAAUACCUCAUAGUAUAACACAAUCGCAUGAUUGAGUUAUUAAAGUCACAACGGCAAAAGAUGAGCAUGCGUCCCAUUAGCUAGAUGGUAAGGUAACGGCUUACCAUGGCUACGAUGAGUAGGGGUCAUGAGAGGGAGAUACACCCCAAGGGUAUGGGGACACGGAGAAGACUCCUCAGGGAGGCAGCAGUGAGGAAUAUUGGUUAAUGGACGCAAGGCUGAACCAGCCAUGCCGCGUGCAGGAUGACGGUCCUAUGGAGUGUAACCUGCUUUUGUACAGGAAGAAACACUCCUUCGUGAAGGAACGGGACGGUACUGUAAGAAUAAGGAUCGGCUAACUCCGUGCCAGCAGCCGCAGUAA